rnacentral:rRNA from 1 species
AGAGUUUGAUCAUGGCUCAGGAUGAACGCUAGCGACAGGCCUAACACAUGCAAGUCGAGCGGGAUCCACCUUCGGGUGGUGAGAGCGGCGCACGGGUGAGUAACGCGUAUGUAACCUGCCUGCAACAGGGGGAUAGCUCCCGGAAACGGGAAUUAACACCGCAUAAGACCACGGGUUCGCAUGGAUUCGGGGUAAAAUAUUCAUAGGUUGCAGAUGGGCAUGCGUGACAUUAGGUAGUUGGUAGGGUAACGGCCUACCAAGCCGACGAUGUCUAGGGGUUCUGAGAGGAAGGUCCCCCACACUGGUACUGAGACACGGACCAGACUCCUACGGGAGGCAGCAGUGAGGAAUAUUGGUCAAUGGACGCAAGUCUUAACCAGCCAUGUCGCGUGCAGGAAGACGGCCCUAUGGGUUGUAAACUGCUUUUGUACAGGAAGAAAGUUAGCUACGAGUAGCUAUUUGCCGGUACCGUACGAAUAAGGAUCGGCUAACUCCGUGCCAGCAGCCGCGGUAAUACGGAGGAUCCGAGCGUUAUCCGGAUUUAUUGGGUUUAAAGGGUGCGUAGGCGGACUGUUAAGUCAGUGGUGAAAGUUUGACGCUCAACGUUAAAAUUGCCAUUGAUACUGAUAGUCUUGAGUCCAGUUGAGGUAGGCGGAAUGUGGUGUGUAGCGGUGAAAUGCAUAGAUAUACCACAGAACACCGAUUGCGAAGGCAGCUUACUAAGCUGAAACUGACGCUGAUGCACGAAAGUGUGGGGAUCAAACAGGAUUAGAUACCCUGAUAGUCCACACUGUAAACGAUGAUCACUCGUUGUUUGCGAUAUACAGCAAGUGACCAAGCGAAAGCGAUAAGUGAUCCACCUGGGGAGUACGGCGGCACGCUGAAACUCAAAGGAAUUGACGG